GCGACAGCCAAAUCAUCCACAAACAACAUGGACUCAUUUGAAAAAGUGUCUGCAGUCCUCCAGUGAGUUGGAAAGGAUAUUCACUCACAUUACAAAAGCAAAAUGGGCUGGUAUCGAUGAGUCAUGCUGACUUCAUGCAUACGCAAACGUGUCAGGCGAUGGGACUGUCCUUUGGUGUCCUGACAGGGUGAGGUAGUAGGUUGUAUAGUUUGGUGGGAGGGAUCAAACCCUGUUCAGGUGAUAACUAUACAGUCUAUUGCCUUCCUUGUUGUACCAGCUAUCUGUCUGCUAGUGGAAAUUCCCUGGAGUUUAAAUAUUGCUUAAACCCUUUGGCCUGCUUCACACCACAUGAACUUUGUAUAUAUCAGCAUCUUAGAAUGAUUUCUGAAGGAUCAUGUGACACUGAAGACUGGAGUAAAGAUGCUGAAAAUCCAGCUUUGAAUCACAGAAAUAAAUUGCAUUUUACACUAUAUUUAUAUAUUUUGUUUUCAACUUUUUUUUAUUUAUUUUAUUUUAUUUUUUUUAUGCAAUAAAUGUGUCAUUGGUUAGCAUAAGAGACUUGAAUGAAUUUUUUCUAAAAUCUCACUGACUUUUGAAUGUUAGUGUAGAUUUAAUGAUGAUCAAGCCUGAAAUAGUUCUCACUCCACUAAACAUUUGAUAGGUUAUGGUCAUUCAUUAAAGGAAAUGCUUAGUGCAUUAAGAUAGAAAUCACCUCGUUGUACAGCACAACAAGACUGUUGCGGCUUUGUGUGUGUGUGUGUGUGUGUGUGUGUGUGUGUGUGUGUGUGUGUGUGUGCGUGUGUGUGUGUGUGUGUGUGUGAGCAUUGUGAAACCCGGCUUACACUUUACCUAACAAGCCUGAACAACAUCCAUUCCUCUGCUGCAAGCUUAACAUGCUGAUCUGGUACAUGAAGAGAAAAAUCAGAUUAAAAGAGAUUUACUAAGCUCAGAUUUAUGGCUUAAUCAAUAAUUUAGCAUUUCUGUUGGCUUGUGAUCAAACAGGAUUUUCACACAUCAUAACAGGAAAUUCAUUUUCAGUCAGACAAUGCAUGUGGCCUUGUUCAGAGAAUGAAACACACACACACACACACACACACACACACACACACACACA
ensembl:lncRNA